rnacentral:lncRNA from 1 species
AACAUUGAAAUGAUGUAUGUUGAUGUUUAAAAGGUUGAUUUGAAUGUUUUAAUUUACUACAAAUUUCAGAAAUUUGAGAUUUUUUUUUUACAAUUUUGACAGAAUAUUAUACAAUUAAAUGUUUAAUUAAAGUUUUUUUAUGACAUGAACUCCCCUAAUGUUCAUUUAACUUACAAAUAUAGAAAAAUGAUAAUUAUGUUUUAUAUUUGAGUUAUAUUUCACAGUUGAAACAUAACGAGAUUUAUAGAAUAUACUAAUUUCUCCAUAUCUUGGGGUAUCGUAAAUUAAAACAUUUAAUGAGUUUUCUGACAUGUCUGAAUGCAUGAAUUUUGCUGAAAAUAUGUCAUAGUUAUAUAAAAGUACAUGCAAGACUUGUACGAAUUGAAGAUCUUUUCUGGUAGUAUUACACAUUCUAGUAUGUUUCUUUUACUCGGUAUAUAAAUACAUGACUGUCCUUGACAUGGGACAAUAUCCUUAUGCAACUUUUUCUAAAGAGUCAUUUAACUGAAUUCUGGUUAAAAACCAUCUAAAUUUUCCAUGCAUAAAAAGGGCAUAUCAUGUGUAUAUUUCAGAAAAUGAUACAAAUUUGAAAUUGUUGUAUUUGGUCUAAAUCUAUAAGUGGAAUGACUAUGAAUGAAGACUACAAGUUAAAAGUCUUGAAAUAAUUUUGUAAUUUCAUAUAGGAGCAGACAAAAAAAAACACAUAAGAGCCUGUUUUAGUGAACAUGGCUGCAAUGAAUGGAUACAAUUUAUACAUGCUUCUUUCAUAUAAUCAUUUUUAUUCAUUUUUCAUCCUUUUUUAUUGUGUUGCAAUAAUGUUAUGCUUUCUGUUUUACACAAUAACUCCAUGACAUGUUUCACAUAAUAUCUCCAUGACUUCAUAUUGGCAUAAUAACACAUCAAUUGGGUAUAGCAUGUGCAAUAAACAUAACAUCAUUCUCAUCAUGUUACUCUUAUUAUUAUGUAGUUUUUACUGUAUGUAUGAAUUGAUUAUCCUCAUGAAAUUGGUAUCUGUUAAAGUUUGAUCUCAUUUUAUACAUUCUAGAUCGACAAGUUGAUUUAAAAAUCCAUCUUUAUUAUGCAUUAUUUGGGAUAAGGGUUGUAAUCUUUUCAUUUGCAUUCUUGCAAGAGUUAUGCAAAAUGCAUUAUGGUUAUGAAGGUGUACCUAUUUGAUUUUUCUAUGGAUAAAAUGACAGAUUAAAAAAAAAAUUGAUUUUCAGCACUUAUUGAAAAAAUGUCUAAAUGUUAUGUCCUUUUUUUUUACCUUUGCAAAUUAAAUUUUACUUUCAUUUAUAAAUGUCAUUUAAAUGAAUUUAAUUAUUUUUUAUGCAAAAAUAUUUAUACAAUAAUAAAACAUUGAAAAGGUAAAUGAGUCAAAAGAGGCUCAAUGUUUUGAUCUUGAGAUGCAGUGGUCACUGGUAUAUGGGUGUGUAAUAAAACAAUUACCUCAAAUAUCAAUUUUUCAUAACAAAAUAUUGAGUUGUCUCCCAUAUAAAUUAUAAGUGAUGUCCAACAAUUUCUUGGAAUAUAAUAUUACUUAAAAUAGGUCAAAUUAUCUGGAUCUGAAAUGUGAGAAGAGUAUUACUGAAAUGAAAUAGAAAGUAUUUUUGUGAGAUUAUUUAUAUCAUUGUUAGUUAUUUGUGUUUAAAAUUGUUGAAUUUUCAUAGUUAUGAGAAAUAGGUGCUAUUACAUAAUAUGUUAAUUACAUUCCUUGAUCUUUUGAAUUUAUCUGUGAUUUCCCCCCAGAAAUUCU